GGCCAGUUGAUGACCGAGUAACACAUGCAUGGAGCAUGCAAUCAAUGCCCAGAACAAUUUCCGAGUGAACAGUACAGGUGGUGAUAGCUUGGCAUGAUCUCUAGGCGUCAAAUGAGGAAGGAUGUAUCUAACCAUCCGAGAAUCUCAUGACCAGAUCGCGAUGAAUUCUCAUACUCUGUUCUAAAUAAACCAAGACAACGGAAUUCAGGUAAGAGCCUUU
rnacentral:lncRNA from 1 species